ACGCUAGCUACAGGCUUAACACAUGCAAGUCGAGGGGCAGCAUGGUCUUAGCUUGCUAAGGCCGAUGGCGACCGGCGCACGGGUGAGUAACACGUAUCCAACCUGCCGUCUACUCUUGGACAGCCUUCUGAAAGGAAGAUUAAUACAAGAUGGCAUCAUGAGUCCGCAUGUUCACAUGAUUAAAGGUAUUCCGGUAGACGAUGGGGAUGCGUUCCAUUAGAUAGUAGGCGGGGUAACGGCCCACCUAGUCUUCGAUGGAUAGGGGUUCUGAGAGGAAGGUCCCCCACAUUGGAACUGAGACACGGUCCAAACUCCUACGGGAGGCAGCAGUGAGGAAUAUUGGUCAAUGGGCGAGAGCCUGAACCAGCCAAGUAGCGUGAAGGAUGACUGCCCUAUGGGUUGUAAACUUCUUUUAUAAAGGAAUAAAGUCGGGUAUGGAUACCCGUUUGCAUGUACUUUAUGAAUAAGGAUCGGCUAACUCCGUGCCAGCAGCCGCGGUAAUACGGAGGAUCCGAGCGUUAUCCGGAUUUAUUGGGUUUAAAGGGAGCGUAGAUGGAUGUUUAAGUCAGUUGUGAAAGUUUGCGGCUCAACCGUAAAAUUGCAGUUGAUACUGGAUAUCUUGAGUGCAGUUGAGGCAGGCGGAAUUCGUGGUGUAGCGGUGAAAUGCUUAGAUAUCACGAAGAACUCCGAUUGCGAAGGCAGCCUGCUAAGCUGCAACUGACAUUGAGGCUCGAAAGUGUGGGUAUCAAACAGGAUUAGAUACCCUGGUAGUCCACACGGUAAACGAUGAAUACUCGCUGUUUGCGAUAUACAGCAAGCGGCCAAGCGAAAGCGUUAAGUAUUCCACCUGGGGAGUACGCCGGCAACGGUGAAACUCAAAGGAAUUGACGGGGGCCCGCACAAGCGGAGGAACAUGUGGUUUAAUUCGAUGAUACGCGAGGAACCUUACCCGGGCUUAAAUUGCAGAUGAAUUACGGUGAAAGCCGUAAGCCGCAAGGCAUCUGUGAAGGUGCUGCAUGGUUGUCGUCAGCUCGUGCCGUGAGGUGUCGGCUUAAGUGCCAUAACGAGCGCAACCCUUGUUGUCAGUUACUAACAGGUUCCGCUGAGGACUCUGACAAGACUGCCAUCGUAAGAUGUGAGGAAGGUGGGGAUGACGUCAAAUCAGCACGGCCCUUACGUCCGGGGCUACACACGUGUUACAAUGGGGGGUACAGAGGGCCGCUACCACGCGAGUGGAUGCCAAUCCCCAAAACCUCUCUCAGUUCGGACUGGAGUCUGCAACCCGACUCCACGAAGCUGGAUUCGCUAGUAAUCGCGCAUCAGCCACGGCGCGGUGAAUACGUUCCCGGGCCUUGUACACACCGCCCGUCAAGCCAUGGGAGCCGGGGGUACCUGAAGUGCGUAACCGCGAGGAGCGCCCUAGGGUAAAACUGGUGACUGG
rnacentral:rRNA from 1 species